rnacentral:rRNA from 1 species
UGGGGAAUAUUGGACAAUGGGCGCAAGCCUGAUCCAGCCAUGCCGCGUGAGUGAUGAAGGCCUUAGGGUUGUAAAGCUCUUUCGUCAGGGAAGAUAAUGACGGUACCUGAAGAAGAAGCCCCGGCUAACUUCGUGCCAGCAGCCGCGGUAAUACGAAGGGGGCUAGCGUUGCUCGGAAUCACUGGGCGUAAAGCGCACGUAGGCGGCUUUCUAAGUCAGGGGUGAAAUCCCGGGGCUCAACCCCGGAACUGCCUUUGAUACUGGAGAGCUUGAGUUCGGGAGAGGUGAGUGGAACUGCGAGUGUAGAGGUGAAAUUCGUAGAUAUUCACAAGAACACCAGUGGCGAAGGCGGCGCACUGGCCCGAUACUGACGCUGAGGUGCGAAAGCGUGGGGAGCAAACAGG